CUGCUUCGCCUCCCAUGCGCCGCUGGCGCCUUUCCUCGCAAUGGGCUCGUGCCGCUGCCCUCCCCUCCCCUCCCCCUGCGCCUUCCCCUGCGAUGGACUCGCGCCGCUGCCCUCCCAGCCGCGCGCCCGUUGCUGGUUGAGCCCCCGUCUCCUGCCCCACCCCCGCGACGCUCCCGCCUGCAAUCAACUCGCCGCCUGGCCUCCCGAGCGUCCGUUCCUUGCUUCCGUCGAGACCAAUUUUUACCGAGCACAAAUGCAGCCACUUAUGAUUAAAAAACCGUCCCACUUAUCCAGCCAUUCAUCAACCCUUCGAUUCUCUCGCUUAAUCUGCCGGCCUUUCAAUUCUUCCUCCCACGCCGUUCCCCUUCCUCUGCUCCGCGACUCUGUAACCGAAGCCUCCGGUGGCUUGCUAAUGCAUUUCCCUUCCUUUCUCCAAUCUUCCCCACUCACAUCUUCUUCCUCUUCCCAAUUUCAAUCCAUCUCCUGGCAGCACCUUCUCCCCCUUCAAUUCCUUCACUCCGGCCGUUGUGGCAAAUGCUGCAGGCGGGUCUGCUAUGGUGACCAAUUCAGGAUCGACCAUGGUCAGGAAGUAGUAGGAGAUACAGAGGAUCAAGAAAAAUAAUUGUCAAGGAGCAGAUAAUUGACAGUUUGGCUAUGUGGGCAUCUGCAACUGACUGCCCAUUGUUCUCUACAGUUGUGAUGAGUGUUGUUUCCCCUCACGGUUACACUUUUUUUCUCCAGGGGAUUCUUUCGUGGGAGAAUAUCGAGUGAAAACCACGCGGAAAACAUAUAUAGAAGUUCCAAAAUAUUCUCAGAAAAAUAUACUGUGUUGGAGGAGUGGAGUUCUACAAACAAAUAAAUUUCAAGUUGCAAAUCAUAUUGGGUAAAAAAUACAGAAUAUUGAGACAUUCAGCACUGGUACUUUCUCUUCUUUCAUUGAUUGGAGUUGUUCUUCCUCUAUCAUCAUUUGUGUUUAUAUGUACCUUGGAAUGAUUUGGUUGCAGCUGACAUGCAAUAAGAAUAGAAAAGCAUGUAGAAUGUUGAUUUUGAACUGCAGAAUCUUAUUUUACAGGUUUGUAGUUCUAGAGCUUUUAUUCCCUUUGAUUACAUUUCUACCAUGUUUUAUUCUCUAUUUCAUACAUUAUGUUGCAUCUAAUCCAAGGGAUUUCCUUAACUUCCUAGAAGCUAUAUUAGUUUAUGAAUAGAACAAUAUAAAAUUACCUUCCUAUGUUUCAUAUUUUUCUCUAAAUGUAUGUGUCUCAGUCAUUUUUUUUACUUUGUACAUUUACCAAUAUGCUAUGUUGUUUAUCCAUUGAUUUAUUUAAGUUGUUUGUUGUUUGAUGAAUUUGCCAUACUGCUCAUCAUAUUUAACAGGUAUUGGCCAUCCGGCCUAACAAAAUCGAGCCAAUAUUUUAUUUAUCCUAAUUGCUUCAAAGUGCAUAUGCACUUUUUGAAGAAGACGGGCGCGCAGGCUUCACCAACGUUCGUUUUCUCCUGGCGCAGCGAACCCGUCUGAUUAGUGAUUACCGCCGGCUUUAUUUCUUACCUGGUCCACAUGGGCCAAAAUGGGACCCGCUUGUCUGCGUUUGUUCCACCAUUCCCUCAUUCUCCCCUGGAACUCGCCACCUCCGGCUCUCUCUCCUCUCUAUCUCUGGCCGAGUGUUUCUCGGCAGCAGAUCCAUGGCGAUGGAGGCCGGCGGCGGUGGAUCUAUAUCGAUGGAGGCCAGCGGCGCCUUGCAGGAAGCGCAGCAGGCGGCGGCCGGGGCCCGAUUCAGCGGGCGGCACAGCAGCAUCCUGCAGCGCGGCGGUCGGCGGAGACGAGGACUACGGCGCGGGCGUCUGCAUGUCGGCGGAGACGGAUUGACGGAGAAGAGGGGGCACGGGAAAGGGAGUGGGUCGACGGGGAAUGGGAGGUUACCGAGGAGCUCGAGCUCCUCUUCGAUUUCUUGCCGCGGCGUCGGGCACCCGACGGUGAUUUAGGGGUUCCGGUUUGUCGGCAUGGUGGAGGGCAUCUGCAUGUCGCAAGGCGUGGUGCCGUGGGUUGAACGAACAGGAUUCGCUGAUUCGAGCACGGCCGCUGCAUCGACGACGGCGGGGCGUAACGAGCUCGGCGAGCGCAACGAGCACGGCGAUUUCACCCGAUUUCACGGGGGCCAAGAAUACUGAGAUCCAACGCAGGCGCCCUAUGUUUUCAAUAUACUCGCUGAUACUAUGCCCUAUAGUUGCCUCGUUUUAGUAUAGUUGCUUAUGUAUAUGUUUAGAUCUACCUAUUUAGUCACUUUUUUUUUCUUAACAGUAUACUUGUCCAUAUACUUGACCAUGCCCAGGCCUGAAGUUGCUUUUCAACUCAGCUAAUGUAGUUUGCUUUUGAUUAUUAGUCGCUCACACACCGCCUUAUAGUUGCUUCCUUUGUUUUAGUUUAGGCGGCAGCAAGCAAAUAUAGGUGCGUGCCUCAUCGAUCAAAUAUAGUUGCGUUUUUUAAUGCAACUUUUGUGUCUUAGUUAACUUCUUAUGACCUAGAUUUUCUUAUUUAGUUGCUUAUACAUAUGUUUAGCUUUAUCUUUGUUGCUUUUUACUUCCCAAUAUACUUGCACGCACAAGCGCGCGCGCACACACAUCCAGAAGUUGCUUUUAAAUUUAGGGAAUAUAGCUUCUUGUAAUUAUUCAGUUGCUCACGCAACACCUUAUAGUUGCUUCUUUUUAAUAUAGGCGGCAACAAGCAAUAUAGGGGCAUGCCUCAGUAAUAUAGUUGCUUGUUUUAAUGCAACUUCGUGUUCUAGAUUACUUCCUAGGACUUCUUCUUUAAUUAGUUGCUUAUACAUAUGUUAGUUUUACCUUUGUCGCUUUUUUUCUUUCUCAAUAUACCUGCAAACACACAGCCCCGCCCCCCCUCAAGUUGCUUGUUAACUUAGGUGAUGUAGGUGCUUUUAAUUAUUUGUUUGCUCACACAAUGUGUUGUAGUUGCUUCUCUUUUUUUGUCAAUAUGCUUGCCUAACCACGUCGGCUAUAUGAAAUUUGGUUGUUGCUUUUUCCUCUUUUCUUGCUUUAUCUAAACCUAAAUACCUUGCGCAGGUUAAUUUUUCCUUUUGGGUGUUGUGGUGUUAUUUUUUUUCAAGAACCCCGUCGUUUUACUUUUACUUUUUCAUAUUUAUGCCUGCAACUAUAUGUCGACUGUAUACUAGAUAUGUUUUCUCUGCUUUUUGUUCCACAGGCAGCUGCUUGUGUGAAGAAUAGACUUGUACAUAUAGAAGAAAAGUCCUAAUGGAGGCUCAACAAGGGAUCCACAUUUUCUACAGCUGGCUGGGGUGCAAGCCUGAUGCUGGGGAGAACAGAUGCUGGGGCUAUCUACUACACAAUGAAAACUGCUUGUAUGAAUCGGAUGUCGGGGCACCUUUUUGUGCAGGAUUCAGUUUGAGUGCUGUUUUGUAACUACUGCUUUCUACGCAUAUAUGUACUGCCUAGCUACCUACUACUAGUGGUUGUUGCUUUUGGAAACAACAAAUGGGAUUUGUUCUGUAACUCACUACUGGAGACUUGUCUUACACUAGCUAUAUAGCUCCUGCCUAUGUUCAGUCCUUUUUUCUGUCUUU